GAUGAAGAACGUAGCGAAAUGCGAUAAGUAGUGUGAAUUGCAGAAUUCAGUGAAUCAUCGAAUCUUUGAACGCACAUUCGCCUCCUGGUAUUCCGGGAGGCAUGCCUGUUCGAGCGUCAUUAAAAUCACUCAAGCUUAGGUUUACCUAUUGCUUGGUCUUGGAGAUGGAAGCCAAUUUAUUGGAAUCCUCUUCGAAAUUCAAUGGCGAAGACCCUUGCUCUCCCAAGUGUAGUAAUAACUUAUGUCACUGAAGGAAGCGAGAAAUCUUCUGCCGUAACCCCCAUAUUUUCUAUGAUUGACCUCGGAUCAGGUAGGGAUACCCGCUGAACUUAAGCAUAUCAAUAAGCGGAGGA
rnacentral:misc_RNA from 1 species